GUUCAGUAAUCAUAUCACAGGCAGAGGGGAGGAUUUUGUGUGGGAGUGUCUAUGUGUAUUGUACGGAUUGAUUGGUUGUAUUUCAAAACCCUAUGGGCAGUACUAUGUUUGUGGAUUGUGAAUAAAAGAGGCUGUAUGUGCCAGUACAGUGAGUUCUGCUUGACCUCAAAACGAAGUGUCGUCUCGUUAUUGGGGGAAUUGGAUUGUAU